ACUCCUACGGGAGGCAGCAGUAGGGAAUCUUCCACAAUGGGCGAAAGCCUGAUGGAGCAACGCCGCGUGGGUGAAGAAGGUCUUCGGAUCGUAAAACCCCUAGUUGUUAGAGAAGAAAGUGCGUGAGAGUAACUGUUCACGUUUCGACGGUAUCUAACCAGAAAGCCACGGCUAACUACGUGCCAGCAGCCGCGGUAAUACGUAGGUGGCAAGCGUUAUCCGGAUUUAUUGGGCGUAAAGGGAACGCAGGCGGUCUUUUAAGUCUGAUGUGAAAGCCUUCGGCUUAACCGGAGUAGUGCAUUGGAAACUGGGAGACUUAAGUGCAGAAGAGGAGAGUGGAACUCCAUGUGUAGCGGUGAAAUGCGUAGAUAUAUGGAAGAACACCAGUGGCGAAAGCGGCUCUCUGGUCUGUAACUGACGCUGAGGUUCGAAAGCGUGGGUAGCAAACAGGAUUAGAUACCCCUGGUAGGAUAGCG
rnacentral:rRNA from 1 species